rnacentral:rRNA from 1 species
GACACGGGAUGCUUACGCCGCGGUGAGUAGGAGGGUCGCAGCGGCGAGCGUUGAAGGUGCCGGGCGCGAGCCCGCCUGGAGCCGCCGCUGGUGCAGAUCUUGGUGGUAGUAGCAAAUACUCAAGUGAGAACCUUGAGGACUGAGGUGGAGAAGGGUUCCAUGUGAACAGCAGUUGAACAUGGGUCAGUCGGUCCUAAGGGAUAGGAGAAAUCCGUUCCGAAGCGGGUGUUUUUUUAAAACGUCGUGCCCGCCGGUCGACCGAAAGGGAAUCGGGUUAAUAUUCCCGAACCCGGACGCGGAGAUCGGCCUCUCGGGGCCAAGUGCGGCGACGCAACCGAACUCGGAGAUGUCGACGGGAGUCCCGGGAAGAGUUGUCUUUUCUUUGUAAGGGCUCGGCUCCCUGGAAUCGGCUCGUCCGGAGAUAGGGAUGCUGUUCCCGUAAAGCACCGCGGCUCUUGCGGUGUCCGGAGCGCUCCCGUCGGCCCUUGAAAAUCCGAGGGAG